AGAUCACUGUAUCACAAACCCUAACCCUAAUGUACAGACUGAGGUAGGUCCAGAUCACUGUAUCACAAACCCUAACCCUAAUGUAAAGACUGAGGUAGGUCCAGAUCACUGUAUCACUAACCCUAAUAUAAAGACUGAGGUAGGUCCAGAUCACUGUAUCACUAACCCUAAUGUACAGACUGAGCUAACUAACUUCAACUCUAAUUUCAACACUAACCCUAACUUCAACCUUAACUACAAAAUUAAGUGUUUAUUAUCAAUGAUGUAGCAUGUUGUGUUUGUUAUGAAAUGUAGCAUGUGGUGUUUGUUAUCAAUGAUGUAGCAUUAUGUGUUAUGAAUGAUGUAGAACGUUGUGUAUGUUAUGAAUUAUUUAGCAUGUUGUGUUUGUUGUGAAUGAUAUAGCAUGUUGUGUUAUGAACGAUGUAGCAUGUUGUGUUUGUUGUGAAUGAUAUAGCAUGUUGUGUUAUGAAUGAUGUAGUAUGUUGUUUGUUAUGAAUGAUGUAGCAUGUUGUGUUUGUUAUGAAUGAUGUAGUAUGUUGUUUGUUAUGAAUGAUGUAGCAUGUUGUGUUUGUUAUGAAUGAUGUAGUAUGUUGUUUGUUAUGAAUGAUGUAGCAUGUUGUGUUACGAAUGAUGUAGCAUGUUGUUUGUUAUGAAUGAUGUAGCAUGUUGUGUUUGUUAUGAAUGAUGUAGCAUGUUGUUUGUUAUGAAUGAUGUAGCAUGUUGUGUUAUGAAUGAUUAGCAUGUUGUGUUUGUUAUGAAUGAUGUAGCAUGUUGUGUUAUGAAUGAUGUAGCAUGUUUGUUUGUUAUGAAUGAUGUAGCAUGUUGUUUGUUAUGAAUGAUGUAGCAUGUUUGUUAUGAAUGAUGUAUCAUGUUCUGUUUGUUAUGAAUGAUGUAGCAUGUUUGUUAUGAAUGAUGUAGCAUGGUGUGUUAUGAAUGAUGUAGCAUGUUGUGAUCGUUAUGAAUGAUGUAUUAUGUAGCAUGUUAUGCUAUGAUGCAGCGUGUUGUGUUUGUUAUGAAUGAUGUAGCAUGUUGUGUUUGAUAUGAUGCAGCGUGUUGUGUUAUGAAUGAUGUAGCGUAUUGUGUUAUGAAUGAUGUAGCGUAUUGUGUUUGCUAUGAAUGAUGUAUCAUGUUAUGUUAUGAAGAAUGUAGCAUGUUGUGUUUGUUAUGAAUGAUGUAGCAUGUUGUGUUUGUUAUGAAUGAUGUAGCAUGUUGUGUUUGCUAUGAAUGAUGUAGCAUGUUGUGUUUGUUAACAAUGAUGUAGCAUGUUGUACCAUCUCUUCUGAACUUGUCUGUUUGUCUCACUUUCACACCCAGAGACUUUGUAUCUGAGUGUCAAACACAAAAGCCACUACACCUGGAGGCCUAGCUUGUAGCAUUUAGCAUUGUGAGGUUGUGUUGUGGGUUUACAUGUCUGUGCGAGAGAGAGAUAGAUAGAUAGAUAGAUAGAUAGAUAGAUAGAUAGAUAGAUAGAUAGAUAGAUAGAUAGAUAGAUAGAUAGAUAGAUAG
ensembl:lncRNA